rnacentral:rRNA from 1 species
CUACGGGGUGCACCAGUGGGGAAUAUUGGACAAUGGGCGCAAGCCUGAUCCAGCAAUGCCGCGUGUGUGAAGAAGGCCUGCGGGUUGUAAAGCACUUUCAAUUGGGAGGAAAAGCGGUCGGUUAAUACCCGGCCGACUUGACGUUACCUUUAGAAGAAGCACCGGCUAACUCCGUGCCAGCAGCCGCGGUGAAUACGGAGGGUGCAAGCGUUAAUCGGAAUUACUGGGCGUAAAGCGCGCGUAGGUGGCUAGAUAAGUCGGAUGUGAAAGCCCUGGGCUCAACCUGGGAAUGGCAUUCGAUGCUGUCUGGCUAGAGUCUGGUAGAGGGAAGUGGAAUUCCAGGUGUAGCGGCGAAAUGCGUAGAUAUCUGGAGGAACACCAGUGGCGAAGGCGACUUCCUGGACCAAGACUGACACUGAGGUGCGAAAGCGUGGGUAGCAAACAGGAUUAGAUACCCUAGUAGUC